CCACCCAAAGGCGAUUAGAGGGGGCAGGUUUAUUCUAGUUAAAUAUUUAAAUCUAAGGUUAAUUGAAAUUUACGAAAUGAUGGCAACAUUGCAAACGUAUCUUAUAAAUGUGUACGCUUGUACGUGUGAUUGCGUGUAUGUGUGUCUUUAAGGGCAAUUGUACUGAAAAGGAAGCGCGGCGUUCAUCUCUUUGCUCUCGCGAUACAGCGCGCGCAGUGUUACAUCACCCUCAAUUAGCUUAUGCAUAAAUUAUCUCGCCGCCAUAAUUAAUGUUGUUUAAUGCCCUGAUGUGCUCAGUUUCAGUCUGCCCACCAACGAAUGCGCCCUAGAUGGAGGCGUACAUCAAUCCUGGGGUUCUCUAAGGCAAGCCUGAUUGCAGUGUGCUGUAACUUUAUUUACUCAACCAGAAGAUAUCCACUGACAACAAGAGCUGCUUCAUUUAUUGUAGAUAAAUCUCUUUUAGGCUAAUUAUUCCCAUUUAUAAUACAUACAGUACAUAGAAUUGUAAUGCACCUAAGCAAAUAAUUAUUUUACUAAUUGUAUGAAUAGGCAUAUCAUUUCGAUGUUUUAUAAAACUGUAACUGUAAGAGUGUAUAUGUUUUCUUAGAUUUGCAUCAAUGUGAUAUUGUCUUAUUUUUAGUUGAAGACAUAUCAUAUUACUUUCCUCAAAAGGCUGUAAAUGUAUUUAUAAUAUGCUGAGAAGUGAAUUAAAACUACCUGAGAUAAUGUGGCUGCUUAAAUAGACUGCCUGUUUUCAUGAUUUUUUUAAAAUUCAAUUUGUUAUUCUGUUUCAUUUGAGCACAAUAAAACAAAUCAUUAAAUGUG